GCCUAACGGCUGAACCAGCAACUUGGAGGAAUAUAAAUGAAAAAGUUAUAAAAUAACAUUAGUUAUAAAGUUAAAUGAAAAAUUAAACUCUUUUAAAUAUAAUUCUAGAUAAAAUAUUGAUAAUGACAACUUUUUAUCUAUAUGUCUUGACCAAAUAUUGUGCCAGCAGUCGCGGCAACACAAUGAAGACAAGUGUUAUUCAUCUUUAAUCGGUUUAAAGGGUACCUAGACGGUAAAAUAAACCCCUUUAAUUUUGGGGAGCGUUUUUACUAGAGUUAUAUAUGCAAGAGGAUUAUCAUGUCAGUAUUACCAGAGUAGAGAUGAAAUUUUUUGAUACUGUUAAGACUGGUAAAUGCAAAAGCAAACCUCUAUAUAUUAACUGACGUUGAGGGACGAAGGCUUGGGGAGCAAACAGGAUUAGGUACCCUAAUAGUCCAAGCAGAGAAUUAUGAAUGUCAUAGAUUAUGUGUAAAAUAUUCUAUAAAUGAAAGUGUAAGCAUUCCACCUCAAGAGUAAUGUGGCAACGCAGGAACUGAAAUCAUUAGACCGUUUCUGAUACCAGUAGUGAAGUAUGUUAUAUAAUAGAUGUUACACUUAUAAUCUUACCACAAUUUGAAUAUAUAUAAUAUAUUAUAUAAUACAAGCGUUGCAUUGUUGUCUUCAGUUAAUGUUCUGAGAAUUGGUUAGAUUCAUUUAAUUAACGUAAUCCUAUACUUUAUUUAGAUAUUAAUAAAGUAGCUCACCGCAAUAUUGGAUAUUGAUAAAUGGGAGUAAGACAAGUCAUAAUGACCUUAAUAUUGUG
rnacentral:rRNA from 1 species